UACGUAGGGGGCUAGCGUUGUCCGGAAUCAUUGGGCGUAAAGCGCGCGUAGGCGGCUAUCCAAGUCAGGCGUGAAAGCCCCGGGCUUAACCUGGGAGGUGCGUCUGGGACUGGGUGGCUAGAGUUCGGGAGAGGAGAGUGGAAUUCCGAGUGUAGAGGUGAAAUUCGUAGAUAUUGGGAAGAACACCGGUGGCGAAGGCGGCUCUCUGGACCGAGACUGACGCUGAGGCGCGAAAGCGUGGGGAGCAAACAGG
rnacentral:rRNA from 1 species